rnacentral:ribozyme from 1 species
UGAAAAAAAAAAAAAAAAAAAAAAAAAAAAAAAAAA